AUCACCAUUCCAUUCACGCCAACCAGAAGGGUUUAUGAAACUAUCCAUAAAGGAUUGCAUAUAAACUGUUCUUGAAUAUUCUUUCCAUGGUCUCCCUAGGUAUGUUUUAACAGUUGCAACGUUAGGAGCCAAAUCAUCUGCUGGUUUAAUAGUUGCAUUUUGUAUAGAAGUUCCAGUGUUUUGAUUUGGAUCAGUUCGACCUUGAGCUGUGAUGGAAUUGAAUUGUCCACUUAGCGGAAGGCGAGGAUAAAUGUUACAAUUUUGCAAAACAACUGCACCAUUUCCAAAUAUGAAGUCAACUGUUCCGUAUAUAUCGCAUUCUCGAUAAAACUGCCUUAGAGAAUGUGUAUACAAUGUGUCCUGAUACCCUUCAAAGCUACAACUAUAGAAGGUGGACAUAUCUGCUCCACUUCUUAGUGCAACUGCUUGAUUUUUUGCUGCUCCAGCGGUGUUGCGAAAUGUUAUGUUAACUGCCACGAACCCUUGAGCAACCACAGCUGCAAACCCACAUGAAGCAUCAUGUUAGUGAAAUCGUUGACAUAUAAAGUAUCUUCAUGCAUGCCAUAAGUCAUGACAUAAUAUAGAUUAACAAUGUUUGUGUGAUUAAUUGCGGACUACAAAAAUCCGAUGUUAGAAACCAACCAAAAUUAUCAAUCGUUAUUCAAACCAAUUUCGCGAAAUAGAUUACUAAAUAAUUUUGUGAUUUGAUGUCAUUACGCUCUUGAUUCAGCAAAAAAAAAAAAAAAAUAUUAUGUUUUUGUGACUAAAUGAAUUGUGAAUAUGUAGCAAUUUCUUAUGGUGGUCUAUUUAAUAUGUAAGUUAAUUUUUCUUACCAAAGGUGGCUGAAUUGAAUGUUGUGAAACCAUCAACAACAUUGUGGUCUCCUGUGAUAACUGUUUGAUUGAUUCCCUCUCCAACCAUCAUCAAGUACUUUUUGUUUUUGGGUAUAGAUACGUACUCUUGAUACACACCUUUGGUGAUAAAUAUGAAGAAGUAUCCAUCACUAGCAACCGUGUUAUUUGGUGCAGCAGCUAUUGCAUCAUUGAUAGUGGUGAAGUUUCCACUUCCAUCUUGACUAACAACAACAAUAUCACUUACCAAAAUACUAUCUUCAUCGGUUUGAAGUAGUUUUCUCCCAUGGCGUCUAGCUGAAUCAUAAAUAGCGCGUGCUUUAUUUGACAUCUUCAAUGGCAAACGACCAUUUUUGAAAUUCAAAUGUCUCCCUUUUUGUGGCCAUGACGUUCUUAUUUUAUUCGCAGGCAUCCAACCCUUCAAGAACAAGGCUAGGGUUACACUAUGAAGCUUUAUGUCAUCGGAGAGAGAUAAUGACAAGUCAUUUUUCACUCUUUGAUCAGAAGUU
rnacentral:lncRNA from 1 species